rnacentral:rRNA from 1 species
GUUUUUAAAAAAAAUCAAUGGCCGCAGUACCUUGACUGUGCUAAGGUAGCAUAAUCAAUUGGCUUUUAAUUAAGGUCUAGAAUGAAUGGGAUAAUGAAGUUAAUCUGUCUUAGUUGCUUUUAUUAAAAUUUAUUUAAAAGGUGAAAAUACCUUUUUUAAAAAUAAAGACGAGAAGACCCUUAGAAUUUUUAUUAUUUUUUUUGUUGGGGCGACAGUUUAAAAAUAUAAUCUUAAAUUUAUUGUAUAUAUAACGAUUUUUUUAAUAGAAAUUAAAUUACCUUAGGGAUAACAGCAUAAUUAAUUAUUUAGUUUGUGACCUCGAUGUUGGACUAGGAACUAUAUGGCUAACCGUCUAAUUAGAUUUGUUCUGUUCGAACAAUUUUAUCCUACGUGAUCUGAGUUCAGACCGG